rnacentral:rRNA from 1 species
UGGGGAAUAUUGCACAAUGGGGGGAAACCCUGAUGCAGCGACGCCGCGUGAACGAAGAAGUAUUUCGGUAUGUAAAGUUCUAUCAGCAGGGAAGAUAAUGACGGUACCUGACUAAGAAGCACCGGCUAAAUACGUGCCAGCAGCCGCGGUAAUACGUAUGGUGCAAGCGUUAUCCGGAUUUACUGGGUGUAAAGGGAGCGCAGGCGGUGCGGCAAGUCUGAUGUGAAAGCCCGGGGCUCAACCCCGGUACUGCAUUGGAAACUGUCGGUCUUGAGUAUCGGAGAGGUAAUCGGAAUUCCUUGUGUAGCGGUGAAAUGCGUAGAUAUAAGGAAGAACACCAGUGGCGAAGGCGGAUUACUGGACGACAACUGACGGUGAGGCGCGAAAGCGUGGGGAG